rnacentral:rRNA from 1 species
AGCAGCCGCGGUAAUUCCAGCUCCAAUAGCGUAUAUUAAAGUUGCUGCAGUUAAAAAGCUCGUAGUUGAAUUUCGGGGUCAAUAUGUUGGUCGUGCCUUGGUACGUACUAGCUUAUUGAUUUCUCCUUUCUGACGAACCAUGAUGUCAUUAAUUUGGUGUCAUGGGGAAUCAGGACUGUUACUUUGAAAAAAUUAGAGUGUUUAAAGCAGGCUCGCGCUUGAAUACAUUAGCAUGGAAUAAUGAAAUAGGACAUUUGAUUCUAUUUUGUUGGUUUCUAGGAUCGAUGUAAUGAUUAAUAGGGAUAGUUGGGGGCAUUAGUAUUCAAUUGUCAGAGGUGAAAUUCUUGGAUUUAUUGAAGACUAACUACUGCGAAAGCAUUUGCCAAGGAUGUUUUCAUUAAUCAAGAACGAAAGUUAGGGGAUCGAAGACGAUCAGAUACCGUCGUAGUCUUAACCAUAAACUAUGCCGACUAGGGAUCGGAUGAUGUUAAUUUUUUAAUGACUCA